CCUGGUGGCUCAGACGGUAAAGCGUCUGCCUACAAUGCAGGAGACCCAGGUUCAAUCCCUGGGUCAGGA
rnacentral:tRNA from 1 species